UUCUGUUCAAUGUUAUAUGUAUCCUUAUUCACAUGUGCUGUGAUCCUGUGGACAUGAAGUUUAUUUUCAAUUUUCUAAUUUCAACUCUAUCCAACUAUGGUUAACUGCAUAUUUUUACCCUUCUGGGAUGAAGUUCAAUGUUCACUUUUUAAGAUACAAGAUCUGAACAGUGAUCAUUCUUUUUGAGAGCAUACCCUUUUUAUUUGGAGAAUGGUCAUCAGUGUUUUGAUGGUUCAAUACCUAGCUAGGAAAUUGGAAAAUUCCUUUCCUCUUUGUGCAUCACAUAGGUGUUCAUUUCUCUGCUUUUCUUCAUUAACCAAUCAUCAUGGAUAAUGACUUUUUCCUGCAUUCUUGUUUACAAGUGACUCUCAUUCAAUAAUAGAGUAUAUGCCAUAAAAAGAAUUCCCUUGCAUGUUAUGGCAUACUGGCAUAGAAUCAUAAAAGUGAUAAUAUUGCUCUCUCCUUAAUUUUUUUUUAAAAUACAAAUAUG